rnacentral:lncRNA from 1 species
AAUUUCAUGGGUUUAACAAUAACAUUUUCAUCAUUCACAAAAUUCUAUCAAAUUUCAUGGGUUUAAAAAUAAAAUCUUCAUCAUUCACACAAUUCAAUCAAAUUUCAUGGGUUUAACAACAACAUUUUCAUAAUUCACACAAUUCACUCAAAUUUCAUGGAUUUAAUAGCAACAUUUUCAUCAUUCACACAAUUCAAUCAAAUUUCAUGGGUUUAACAACAAAAUCAUCAUCAUUCACACAAUUCAAUCAAAUUUCAUGGGUUUAACAACAACAUUUUCAUAAUUCACAAAAUUCAUUCAAAUUUCAUGGAUUUAAUAGCAACAUUUUCAUCAUUCCCACAAUUCAAUCAAAUAUCAUGGGUUGAAUAGUAACAUUUUCAUCAUUCCCACAAUUCAAUCAAAUUUCAUGGGUUUCACAAUAACAUUUUCAUCAUUCACAAAAUUCUAUCAAAUUUCAUGGGUGUAAAAAAAAAAUCUUCAUCAUUCCCACAAUUCAAUCAAAUUCCAUGGGAUUAAUAACAGUGUUUUCAUCAUUCAAUCAAUUCAAUCAAAUUUUAUUGGUUUUAAGAGCAACAAUUUCAUCAUUCCCACAAUUCAAUCAAAUAUCAUGGAUUUAAUAGCAACAUUUUCAUCAUUCCCUCAAUUCAAUCAAAUAUCAUGGGUUUAACAGUAACAUUUUCAUCAUUCCUACAAUUCAAUCACAUUUCAUGGCUUUAACAAUAACAUUUUCAUCAUUCACAAAAUUCUAUCAAAUUGCAUGGGUUUAAAAAUAAAAUCUUCAUCAUUCACACAAUUAAAUCAAAUUUCAUGGGUUUAACAACAACAAUUUCAUCAUGCGCAUAAAAAUAAAAUCUUCAUCAUUCACACAAUUAAAUCAAAUUUCAUGGGUUUAACAACAACAAUUUCAUCAUGCGCACAUUUUAACCAAUUUUCAUGAGUUUAACAACAAUAAUUUCAUCAUUUUCACAACUAAAUCAACUUUCAUGGGUUUAACAACAACAUUUUCAUCAUUGACACAAUUCAAUCAAAUUUCAUGGGUUUAAUAGCAACAUUUUCAUAAUUUACACAAUUCAAUCAAAUUUCAUGGGUUUAACAAUAACAUUUUCAUCAUUCACAAAAUUUUAUCAAAUUUCAUGGGUUUAAAAUUAAAGUCUUCGUCAUUACACACAAUUCAAUCAAAUUUCAUGGGUUUAACAACAACAUUUUCAUAAUUCACACAAUUCAUUCAAAUUUCAUGGAUUUAAUAGCAACAUUUUAAUCAUUCACACAAUUCAAUCAAAUUUCAUAGGUCUAAGAACAAAAUCAUCAUCAUUCACACAAUUCAAUCAAAUUUCAUGGGUUUAACAACAAC